rnacentral:rRNA from 1 species
UACGGAGGGGGCUAGCGUUGUUCGGAAUUACUGGGCGUAAAGCGCUCGUAGGCGGCUUUGUAAGUUAGAGGUGAAAGCCCGGGGCUCAACUCCGGAAUUGCCUUUAAGACUGCAUCGCUAGAAUUGUGGAGAGGUAAGUGGAAUUCCGAGUGUAGAGGUGAAAUUCGUAGAUAUUCGGAAGAACACCCGUGGCGAAGGCGACUUACUGGACACAUAUUGACGCUGAGGUGCGAAAGCGUGGGGAGCAAACAGG